GGAGAGAUGGCUCAGUGGUUAAGAGCACUGGCUGUUCUGCCAAGGGACCUGGGUUCAAUUCCCAGCACCUUCC
rnacentral:tRNA from 1 species